rnacentral:siRNA from 1 species
GUAGGCCUUCAUUUCUUUCUUC